rnacentral:rRNA from 1 species
GAUGAACGCUGGCGGCGUGCCUAAAACAUGCAAGCCGAACGAUCUAAUUUUAUGAAAAGAGAGCUUCUUGGUUCUUUUCUCAUAAAAUUAUGAUAGUGGCGGACGGGUGAGUAAUACAUUGGUAUCUACCUCGAAGAGGGGAAUAACUGCCCGAAAGGGUGGCUAAUGCCGCAUAGUCUCGCAAGAGUAAAGCAGCAAUGCGCUUCGAGAAGAGCCUGUGUCCUAUCAGCUAGUUGGUGAGGUAAUGGCUUACCAAGGCGAUGACGGGUAGCUGGAUCGAGAGGUUGACCAGCCACACUGGGACUGAGACACGGCCCAGACUCCUACGGGAGGCAGCAGUUAGGAAUAUUGCACAAUGGGUGAGAGCCUGAUGCAGCGACGCCGCGUGGACGAUGAAGGCCUUCGGGUUGUAAAGUCCUUUUAACUGGGAAGAUUAUGACUGUACCAGUUGAAUAAGUCACGGCUAACUACGUGCCAGCAGCCGCGGUAAUACGUAGGUGGCUAGCGUUAUCCGGAAUUAUUGGGCGUAAAGAGUGUGUAGGCGGUAUUUUAAGUCAGAUGUAAAAACUAUGGGCUCAACCCAUUAGCUUGCGUCUGAAACUGGAGUACUUGAGGCUGGAAGAGGUAAGCGGAAUUUGCGGUGUAGCGGUAAUAUGCGUAGAUAUCGUGAAGAACACCAAUGGCGAAGGCAGCUUACUGGGCCAGUCCUGACGCUGAGACACGAAAGCGUGGGGAGCGAACGGGAUUAGAUACCCCGGUAGUCCACGCCGUAAACGAUGAUCACUAGCUGUUUAGAGUUUCGACCCUCUGAGUAGCGAAGCUAACGCGUUAAGUGAUCCGCCUGGGGAGUACGAUCGCAAGAUUAAAACUCAAAGGAAUUGACGGGGACCCGCACAAGCGGUGGAACAUGUGGUUUAAUUCGACGAUAAGCGGAGAACCUUACCGAGGUUUGACAUCCCAGGAAAGCUCCUGAAAGGGAGCCGUGCCCGCAAGGGAAUCUGGUGACAGGUGCUGCAUGGCUGCCGUCAGCUCGUGUCGUGAGAUGUUGGGUUAAGUCCUUCAACGAGCGCAACCCUCAUUCUGUGUUACUUUUUCGCAGAAAACUGCCCUGGUCAACAGGGAGGAAGGUGGGGAUGAUGUCAAGUCAGCAUGGCCCUUACACCUCGGGCUACACACGUGUUACAAUGGCCGGUACAAUGAGUCGCAAACUCGAAAGGGGAAGCUAAUCUCACCAAAACCGGUCCCAGUUCGGAUUGAAGGCUGCAACUCGCCUUCAUGAAGUCGGAAUCGCUAGUAACUGCAGGUCAGCUAUACUGCGGUGAAUCCGUUCCCGGGUCUUGUACACACCGCCCGUCACACCACGAAAGUCGGUAACACCCAAAGUGCACUUAUGUGCCCUAAGGUGGGAUCGGUGAUUGGGGUGA